AAUAACCAAAUAUGAUACUCGGGCUAAGGGUCAAGUUGGUAAUUUUUCUUACAUCUCCCCCUCCCAGAGCCCAGGUAUCAUAUACGCCCCCAAAAUAAAGAGCCUUGAAUACUAGAAGAAAAGCACCUAGACCUAACAAGAUUAAGUGAAUACCUAAAAUUGUGGUCAUUUUAUUUCGAUCUUUCCA
rnacentral:antisense_RNA from 1 species